rnacentral:rRNA from 1 species
CGUAGGUAACCUGCCUGGUAGCGGGGGAUAACUAUUGGAAACGAUAGCUAAUACCGCAUAACAUUGACUAUUGCAUGAUAGUCAAUUGAAAGGUGCAAAAUGCACCACUACCAGAUGGACCUGCGUUGUAUUAGCUAGUUGGUGGGGUAACGGCUCACCAAGGCGACGAUACAUAGCCGACCUGAGAGGGUGAUCGGCCACACUGGGACUGAGACACGGCCCAG